GCCCACUUAGCUCAGAGGUUAGACCAUCGCAUUUGUAAUGCGAGGGUCAUCGGUUCAAAUCCGAUAGUCGGCU
rnacentral:tRNA from 1 species